rnacentral:tRNA from 1 species
GGCGGUGUAGCUCAGCCUGGCAGAGCACCGGUUUCAUAAGCCGGUUGUCGCGUGUUCAAAUCACGCCACCGCCACCA